GGAAAGUCUAGUGGUUACGGUGUUUGACUUUUGGUCGAAAGGUUCUGGGUUCGAACCCCACCUGUAGGCAUCCUGA